UUUCCGCAGGUGAACCUGCGGAAGGUUCAUUAAAGAGUAAGGGUCUUCGGGCCCGAUCUCCAACCCUUUGUUUAACUACCAUGUUGCUUUGGCGGGCCCGUCUCACGACCGCCGGAAGUUUGGCUUCGACCAAACUUCUGGCCCGUGCCCGUCAGUGGCCCCUUCAAAUUCUUGAUCAAGUAUGAUGUAUUAGUUAAAAACUGAAUAGUUAAAACUUUCAACAACGGAUCUCUUGGUUCUG
rnacentral:misc_RNA from 1 species